rnacentral:lncRNA from 1 species
CUUAGGGAAGGGCUCACAUGCCAAGGAAUUUGAGUGUCCAAGACGAGACCAGAGCUCCUCUGCCAUGUGAGGUGCAUAUGGUGAGAGCAGCAAAAACAAAUGCUUCAAUAAUUGAUCUCGGAAGUUUGUCCCACUAAAAACAUGAGAUCCAAAGGAUUAGUCCAAAAUGCUAUCAGAAACAGGUAACUUGCAAGGAGGUUUAAUAUAGGCAUCACUCUCUGUUUUCCCAAUUUCCUUAUUUUUCNNNNNNNNNNNNNNNNNNNNNNNNNAACAGUAAGUAUUCAUAACUUUUCAAAAAUACAUGUAUUUUUUAGCCUGCUUGUGUGGAAUAUUUUGCUGAAAAUGGACUCCUGCAGUUUUACAAGAAAACUGGACGACUAAGUAUUUACAGAAGCUCUCUAGUAGGAUGUUUGUAACUUAGUUCCCUUUUCUUUAGCAACAGAAUAAGACUAGAAAAGACGAGUGAUCCGUCGUCUGUCCGAACGGCAGGAUGGGGGAAAGAGGAAUACAGAGUAAAAAUCUAGGAUCAAGGAAAAGCUCACCUUAGGGAAGGGCUCACAUGCCAAGGAAUUUGAGUGUCCAAGACGAGACCAGAGCUCCUCUGCCAUGUGAGGUGCAUAUGGUGAGAGCAGCAAAACAAAUGCUUCAAUAAUUGAUCUCGGAAGUUUGUCCCACUAAAAACAUGAGAUCCAAAGGAUUAGUCCAAAUGCUAUCAGAAACAGGUAACUUGCAAGGAGUUUAAUAUAGCAUCACUCUCUGUUUCCCUUCUUAAUUUUCCUUAUUUUUCCGUGGAAGAAAUUCAAGUGUCUAAUUUGAUCUCAUUUCAAGGAAUAUGCUAAAUAGCUUCUUGCGGAAAUACGGGUAAGAUGGCAUAAAAUAGACCCAAUGUGGUCCAGCCCUUCCCCGGACCCGUGCAUAGUGGGAGCCCAAUGCACCGGGCUAGCCUUUUUUGUCAGUGAAGUCUACAAGCAUUCAAUUGGAAAUUUCAAUUUAACAGGGAAUGAGAAGAGCUAGAGAAGUCCUCUUGGGAGUAGUUCAUCAAUUUUGUAUUUCUUUGCCUAGAAGAGGAGACUGAAAUCUCUUCCCUUAUGCAAUUAACUCUUGCAAGCACAUCAGAGUUUUGGAUUAAGCUGCUCUUUCAACCUGCCAAGCUUGACAAUUUUGAAAAUUUGAUAAGAUAGAAGUGAUAUGACUUUUCCCUUUUCCUUGAGAAAUGCUCCAACAGACUGACAAAAGUUUAGACAAAAAAUAAUUUAUAUCCCUAUUCUUUUCCUUUUUUUCCUAUUCUUUGAGCAGUGAGGGAGAAAUGAG